CCUGUUAUAGAUCCUAUCUGUUAUAGAUCUUCUCUGUUAUAGAUCCUCUCUGUUAUAUAUCCUAUCUGUUAUAGAUCCUCUCUGUAAUAGAUCCUCUCUGUUAUAGAUCAUCUCUGUUAUAGAUCUUUACUCUAUUUCUUCCAGCACGUUAUACUCAAAUAAUUAUCUCAAAAUGUUUGUCAAGAAUCAUGCGAAAUAUCUGUAAUAGUUUUUCUAUGCAAAGUUUCAGAGCCUCGUAUUUCCUAACUUCGGUAUGGAACUACAUUAUUACUGGUUAGGGUUGUACAACUACAGUGACUUUCACAAAAUUCCCAGGUUUUUCACAAAUCCGGCUAGAAGAUUCCCAGAUUUCCUGCUUAUUCUCAUCUGAUUCCGGGAUUCUUCCCACACAGGAUUUCUGGAAAAUCUGAACAUUAUGGAACGGUGACCGGACUUUUACAACCCUUACCACUGCUCGUACAUUUAACCAUGUCAAUCAUAUAGGCCUCUCCUCUCACAGAUAAUAUCAUAUAGGUCUCUCCCCUCACAGAUAAUAUCAUAUAGGCCUCUCCCCUCACAGAUAAUAUCAUAUAGGCCUCUCCCCUCACAGAUAAUAUCAUAUAGGCCUCUCCCCUCACAGAUAAUAUCAUAUAGGCCUCUCCCCUCACAGAUAAUAUCAUAUAGGCCUCUCCCCUCACAGAUAAUAUCAUAUAGGCCUCUCCUCUCACAGAUAAUAUCAUAUAGGCCUCUCCCCUCACAGACAAUAUCAUGUAGGCCUCUCCUCUCACAGACAAUAUCAUAUAGGCCUCUCCCCUCACAGACAAUAUCAUGUAGGCCUCUCCUCUCACAGAUAAUAUCAUAUAGGCCUCUCCUCUCACAGAUAAUAUCAUAUAGGCCUCUCCUCUCACAGAUAAUAUCAUAUAGGCCUCUCCUCUCACAGAUAAUAUCAUAUAGGCCUCUCCUCUCACAGAUAAUAUCAUAUAGGCCUCUCCUCUCACAGAUAAUAUCAUAUAGGCCUCUCCCCUCACAGACAAUAUCAUAUAGGCCUCUCCUCUCACAGAUAAUAUCAUAUAGGCCUCUCCUCUCACAGAUAAUAUCAUAUAGGCCUCUCCCCUCACAGACAAUAUCAUGUAGGCCUCUCCUCUCACAGACAAUAUCAUGUAGGCCUCUCCUCUCACAGACAGUAUCAUGUAGGCCUCUCAUAAACAAUAUCGCUGACAUGCAAUCACACAAUUACUACAGAAGAUACUGUAUAUACACCAAAUGAUCUGUCUUCAAUACAAUACUAUUCAUGUUUUUAUCGAUUGGCAUGGUCCAGUUGUGUUGGUAAUGUGAACAGAUCGUGUUGAAGUAGAACCUCUUGAUUUCAUGUUAGUUUGAGAGACCAAUGUUAUAGAGAUUGUGACGUUAAAAUAAAAUGAAUAAACUAUGAAUAUA